rnacentral:rRNA from 1 species
UAGGGAAUAUUAGAAAUGGACGAAAGUCUGAUCUAGCAACACCGCGUGUGCGAAGAAGGCCUUCGGGUCGUAAAGCACUUUUUGGAAGGAAUAGGAAGGAAUGUACUUCCAGAAUAAGUCUCGGCUAACUACGUGCCAGCAGCCGCGGUAACACGUAGGAGGCGAACGUUAUCCGGAUUUACUGGGCGUAAAGCGCGUGUAGGUGGUACUGUAAGUAGGGCGUGAAAGCUCCUGGCUCAACUGGGGAAGGCCGUUCUAAACUACAGAACUAGAGGAUGGUAGAGGGAGGUGGAAUUCCAGGUGUAGCGGUGGAAUGCGCAGAUAUCUGGAGGAACACCAGUGGCGAAGGCGGCCUCCUGGACCAUUCCUGACACUCAGACGCGAAAGCUAGGGUAGCAAACAG